CUGAUUCGUUCGGGAACAAGCGGUUAGGUGAUCGAGAAGGUUCAAGGAACGGUCGUGUUCAAGGAAAGAGUAGUGAGUCGUCUUUUCGUGGAAGGAGUGAUAGAAAUGUAGAUUCAGGGUCGUCUUUUCGUGGAAGGAGUGACAAAAAUGUUGACUCAGGGUCGUCUUUUCGUGGUAGGAAUGAUAGAAAUGUAGAUUCAGGGUCGUCUUUUCGUGGAAGGAGUGAUAGAAAUGUAGACUCAGGGUCGUCUUUUCGUGGAAGGAGUGAUAGAAAUGUAGACUCAGGGUCGUCUUUUCGUGGUAGGAAUGAUAGAAAUGUAGACUCAGGGUCGUCUUUUCGUGGUAGGAAUGAUAGAAAUGUAGAAUCAGGGUUUAGGAGAGAGCCAGGUUCCGAAAACAACAGGGGCUUGGGGAAACAGACAAGAGGCUUAAGCCUGGAAGAGGAAGAUAGUAGUGACGAUGACGAGAACAGGGUUGGAUUGGGAAACAUCGAUGAUUUGCCUAGUGAAGAUAGUAGUGAUGAGGAUGAUGAAAAUGAUGAGCCUCUUAUUAAGAAAGCGGCUUCUGCUAAGGCUGUUCAGACUGAUAAGCCAACUGGUGAACAUGUCAAAACUUCAGAUUCUUACUUGUCUAAGACAAGGUACAUUAUUUUUCACUAUGUGACUUACUUUGACCAUUUAGUUCUGUUUGAUUGAUAAUAUUCUUUAUGGUACAUGGUUUACAGAUUUGAUCAAUUCCCACUCUCUCCCUUAUCGCUAAAAGCCAUCAAGGAUGCGGGAUUUGAGACAAUGACUGUUGUGCAGGAGGCUACUCUUCCUAUCAUUCUCCAAGGUGAACUUUUCUUCAUGAGCCUUGUUUACGAUGCAAAAAGAAAAAAUGCCAUGAUUUAGAAAUGUAGUGACAAUUUCUAAUUGACGACAUCUCACAAGCUUUUACAAAUCACGUUGGCAAUAGCCAAUAGGUAUUUCAAAGACAACUUAAGAAUCUUGAGUAUUUCUCUUCCGGAUCCCCUCAAAUUUGCCAUGACUGCCAUUUUGUAGCUUGAUUGAUUGUUUAAAUUCCUCUUAACUCCUUGGUUUCUUCCAUGCUCUGUUUUUCCAGGUAAAGAUGUCCUAGCCAAGGCCAAAACAGGCACUGGUAAAACCGUUGCAUUUUUGGUGAGACAUUGUACUCUCUGGGUUCAUGGAUAUAUGUUGGUUGGAUAGGAAUUGAUUGGGCCUUUGAUUGGGAUAUGUUCUUACUUCUUAUCGUUGAUGUUUAUUUUUCAAGCUUCCAGCAAUUGAAGCUGUUAUCAAAUCUCCUCCUGCAAGCCGGGAUAGUAGGCAACCCCCAAUUAUUGUGCUUGUGGUAUGUCCUACUCGGGAACUUGCCAGUCAAGCUGCGGCAGAGGCAAAUACCUUACUGAAGUAUCACCCCUCUAUUGGUGUUCAAGUUGUGAUUGGAGGCACAAAGCUUCCUACAGAGCAAAGGCGUAUGCAAACGAAUCCUUGCCAGGUAAUAAGAAAUUUCUUCCGUCUCUACAGGUGUUUUAAUUUGAAGUUAAUUAUGAGCAAAUCUUGCACUUCCCUUAAACUGCGCUUCUAAGAUGGCUGCAGAUACCGUGACCUAUAUCUAUAUAUUGUUGAAUAAUCACAUAUUUGAACACUCUCAGAUCCUUGUGGCUACACCUGGAAGGCUCAAAGACCAUAUUGAAAACACUUCUGGAUUCGCAACAAGAUUGAUGGGUGUGAAAGUCCUUGUGCUUGACGAAGCUGAUCAUCUCUUGGACAUGGGUUUCCGAAGGGACAUUGAGAGGAUAAUUGCCGCUGUUCCUAAGCAGAGACAAACAUUUUUAUUUUCUGCCACCGUACCUGAAGAGGUUACUGUCACUUUCUAGUACAAAGGCUCUCAUUUUUUGGGUUGGAAUCUUGAACUGUGUUUUUUGGUGUCAAGGUCCGCCAAAUAUGCCAUGUUGCUCUGAAACGGGAUCAUGAGUUCAUCAAUUGUGUCCAAGAGGGCUCUGGGGAGACACAUCAAAAGGUAAAAGAUUUCUCUUUAGCUUAAUUUGAGUGAAUGGCCUGCCAUAUGAUUGGAUGUUAUCAGUUUCUUAUGUUUGUUUUAUCUCCAGGUCACACAAAUGUACAUGAUUGCAUCACUGGAUAGACAUUUUUCGCUUCUACAUGUGCUUCUUAAAGAACACAUCGCAGAUAAUGUGGACUAUAAGGUAACAUUAUCUCUCUAGUGCCAUUAUGAAUAACCAAUGUCUGUAUUUCUGAACUAUCCCGAUUUCGUUGCUGUUGUAGGUUAUCAUUUUCUGUACAACUGCUAUGGUGACAAGAUUGGUGGCUGAUCUGCUUAGUCAGCUAAGCCUGAACGUCAGAGAGAUCCAUUCUAGAAAACCGCAGAGUUACAGAACCAGAGUUUCUGAUGAGUUCCGCAAGUCCAAGGCUAUUAUCCUAGUCACAUCUGAUGUAUCUGCUCGUGGUGUGGAUUAC
rnacentral:lncRNA from 1 species